CUUUUUUCUUCGGAGGCUUCAUUUCCUGAAAGAGACAGUGUCCGUGAUGAGCUGAUUUCACUAAUUCACUCAUUGCAUUUUUUAAAAACCUCAGCGGUCCAGAUCUGGCUUCUUUUGAAGGUGACAACACUAGGCCUAUGCCUCAUCCCCAGCAGGUGACCAAUGGAGGAAAAUAAAACAGAACUUCAACAUGCUCUCUGACGAACUUGAACCCCUGGUACUGGUUGCUCUGAGAAGCCACGGGUUUCCUUCCUUGGACAAUUUCAGAGCCCGUCAUUAUGGUUUAUGGAAAGGAAGUGGCACUGAGAGAGACCCUUGCUUCUCCUGGCAGCUCUUCUCCCUUGAGAAAGCUCCUCAGCUUCUCCUGAGCUUGGUUUCAGAAGUGAUGGUUCAUCCUCUCCCAUUGGGAGUCCUUCUGGGAUGGGCUCCAUAUAUUCCUCCAGCCGCAGGGGGAUGGGCGAGAUGACCUUUUCAGGUCACUCAGGAGAUCCUCCAGUUUCUCAGGAUGAUCUAAGCAUCUCCCUUUCCUUUAGAAGCUGUCAGAGCUAACUCAGCGUGGGUGUGGGCUCUUCGCAGCUACACCACCUCCCCUCCAAUAUUUAAAAGCUCUUUGCUGGUUCUUAGGUUCUCCUAAUCACAGGUCUUUUUUUCUGGGCUCUGCCUGAAAGGCCACAUCUGUUUUCUCCCUGAAAGCUAGCUAGGUCCUCUGGGCUAAACACCACCGCCCCUCAGCUCUAAAAAUGGCUGAUUUUCAUUACGCCCUUUGCCAACCAGAUUAUUUCUUAAAUUGCUCUCCCCCCUGCUGGGUGUUCUGGGACACAGACGCCAGUGUGUGGGGUCCCCGGCUUUCCUUUCUCCCUGAGCAGCUGGAGGAGAGCCUCAGUUUCUCCACCGCACACCCUGGCCUGAGGGCAGCAGCCGACCCAGCCGGGGGAGUGGGCCUCGUGCGCCCUCGGAGGCCCAGGACCGCGGGGCCCCACCGAGGACCCCCUGAACCGCAGCCCGCCGCGAGGCAGGGGACCAAACUGCCGCGCCCCAGAGCCCGCCGCCGCCUGUCCCCGCGUCUGAGGUCCACAAGGAAGAGCUGCGGGAAUGCACGCCCGGGGAAGAGGCUUUGAGAACCGAGGCUCGGCGCGCCCCCCGCCCGCGCCCCUCAUGGGCAGCCGGGCCCAGCCCGCCGCCCGGGCCCCUCUGGGAAGGGCUUGGAGGCGACGCGGGGAGGGGGUCGGGGGAGGAGGGAGCGUUCCUGCAAAUCACAUGAUUUUCCCGCUUAUAUAAAUCACAGCUUGUUUUUCUCAACCGGCUGCAGACUUAAA
rnacentral:antisense_RNA from 1 species